AGUGAACGCUGGCGGUAGGCCUAACACAUGCAAGUCGAACGGCAGCACAGUAAGAGCUUGCUCUUACGGGUGGCGAGUGGCGGACGGGUGAGGAAUACAUCGGAAUCUACUUUUUCGUGGGGGAUAACGUAGGGAAACUUACGCUAAUACCGCAUACGACCUACGGGUGAAAGCAGGGGAUCUUCGGACCUUGCGCGAUUGAAUGAGCCGAUGUCGGAUUAGCUAGUUGGCGGGGGAAAGGCCCACCAAGGCGACGAUCCGUAGCUGGUCUGAGAGGAUGGUCACCCACACGGGAACGUGGACACCGUCCAGGCGCCUACGGGACGGCGCAGUGGGGAAUAUGGGACAGUGGGCGCAAGCCUGAUCCAGCCAUACCGCGUGGGUGAAGAAGGCCUUCGGGUUGUAAAGCCCGUUUGCUGGGAAAGAAAAGCAGCAGGUUAAUACCCCGCUGUUCUGACGGUACCCAAAGAAUAAGCACCGGCUAACUUCGUG
rnacentral:rRNA from 1 species